AGAAUCAACGCUGGCGGCGUGCCUAACACAUGCAAGUCGAACGAGAAAGUGGAGCAAUCCAUGAGUACAGUCGGCGACCGGGUGAGUAACACGUGACUACCUACCCUUGAGUGGGGGAUAACCUCGGGAAACCGAGGCUAAUACCGCAUAAUAUCGAGAGAUCAAAGGAGCAAUUCGCUUUUGGAGGGGGUCGCGGCUGAUUAGCUAGUUGGCGGGGUAAUGGCCCACCAAGGCGAAGAUCGGUAUCCGGCCUGAGAGGGCGCACGGACACACUGGAACUGAAACACGGUCCAGACUCCUACGGGAGGCAGCAGUGGGGAAUUUUGCGCAAUGGGGGGAAACCCUGACGCAGCAACGCCGCGUGGAGGAUGAAGCCCCUUGGGGUGUAAAACUCCUUUCGACCGGGAAAAUAAUGAUGGUACCGGUGGAAGAAGCACCGGCUAAACUCUGCGCCAGCACGCCGC
rnacentral:rRNA from 1 species